UGGAUCCAGUGCGCGCGUGCCAAGAAAUGCAUGUCUUUAGCAUCGUGGCAGUGUGCGGUGGGCUGUGGAUGCUGCGAUAAAGGCUGCAUCUUUAUUGACUAUAAUGAUGGUGUAAAGAGUCGUCUUAAGCACUUACAUCAUUAGGAUUUGACUAAUGACUCGAGUACAUUACGAUGCUUACCGGUUUCAGAGGGAAAGUUUCUUAUUUCAUUCAUCAGUCGCUUUUUUUUUUUUUUCUUUUCAGGAUGACGUCAGCUGCGUCGUAGGACACAGAGGUCAUUGUUGCGCGGGCCGACGUGAUGAGGAGACAGGACUCCUGCGCACAGACGCCGGCAUCGUCCGCGAAAUUAUCUGAGCAUACAUGAUGCUGACCAAACGAGGACUGCUCGAUUCUCUUGCUAACCAGAACGCCUCUGCCACUUCUACCUGCAGGCCUGCAUUAGGUGAGCGUAUGACGCCGCCAUGUUUGUCUACGAUGUAAUCAUGAUUUUUGCGAAACUUUAGCAGUCAAACCAGUUUCGGACACUGCUGCGUACGAUCAACAUUCUGACAUUUAGAUAACUGACCAGCCUCGAUACAGUGACCGGAGUGCUAAGGUGAGCGUGUGGCACCGUGAAGGGCGAGGCUGCACCGGCUGUUACUGAGAGAGGGUCGUGAGCAACUGUGACCCGCCGCAGGGAGGAGCAGGUGGAGGUGGUGACAGUACCGCAUAGCAACCAGUGAUGACCCGCUACUUGUUUCUUGGGAGUCUGUACAUGCCUGUGACGUAAGAGGACCCAGGAGCCAGAACCCAAGCCGCCCACCGCCCCACCACAGCCGCCAGCCAACACACGCUUGCCUGUGUUACAUAAGACUGCAUAGCUGAGUGGUGGGAGUUUAGGGAGGCGGACCGUAAGAGCGCUGUGGGCGGUUUUGUGGAUUAGAUAAUGGUACCUCCUUGCUGGACUCGUUACACUGAUAGAAAGAAUGACAUACAUCUAUUUCAAAUCUAAGGGUUUUCUUCCAACAACGAAAUACAUUGUGCAAGGUCAUCUGUUAGCCGUAUUACCGAUUAUGCCAUCUUGCCAACAGCCGCGACCCAACCCGCUCCAGAUGAAUUCUUGGAAAGCAUACACCAAAACACCCUAAAGCACCUCACACCACCACCAAAACAGA